rnacentral:pre_miRNA from 1 species
AUUCGCAUCACAAGAGGAUCUUGUUAAAAUGCAGAGUCUGAGGCAGCAGGUCUGGGUGGGGCCUGAGACUCUGCAUUUUUAACAAGCUCCCAGGCAAUACUGAU